GGACCCUCACUGCUGGAGCUAC
rnacentral:piRNA from 1 species